rnacentral:rRNA from 1 species
UACAGAGGGGGCAAGCGUUGUUCGGAAUUACUGGGCGUAAAGGGCGCGUAGGCGGCCUGCUAAGUCGAACGUGAAAUCCCUGGGCUCAACCCAGGAACUGCGUCCGAUACUGGUUGGCUUGAAUCCGGGAGAGGGAUGCGGAAUUCCAGGUGUAGCGGUGAAAUGCGUAGAUAUCUGGAGGAAUACCGGUGGCGAAGGCGGGUCUCUGGGCCGAUACUGACGCUGAGGAGCGAAAGCGUGGGGAGCAAACAGG